CAUUUUUGGUACAUUAAAAAUAGAAACACUCCUUUAUAGAUAAGUGCUUUUUAUUUGAUUUACUAUACAGCUUGCACGUGUACAAGCGCGCAGCCAAACACGCGGAGAUAAAAAUGGUGCCAGUCUUCCUUCGUCAACCACGAUUCGACAUGUAUAAUUCGGUGCACAUGUGUAAUCGAAAUUAUAUCCUUGAACUUAAACCUGGACGAAAUUGAGAUAACGAUUUCCGAAUAAAUAGUUCGAACAAUGAUUAUUAUGCUGCGAUUAAUAACACUUCGAUCGAGGCUGCGGAUGUUCAUGUAUUUAUAGAAAUGUUGUACAUUCAAACGUGCCAAAGUCUAAUAAAAUCAUAAUAAAAAGCAUCAUAGUGCAUAAUAUUCAAGUCUCUGAUCUACAAUCUAGUUACACGACAGAUACACGGAAUGUAAAAGAAUAUACGUACGACGGAAAUAACUACUGACGACUACAAAUAAAUCUUGCGUAUGUGUUUAUUAUGUGCCUACAAAGUGUGAGGUGCAGAUAAUCAUCUUCGAUUCGUGAUGCGCAAAAUUACCAAGUGAAUUGAAACGUUUGUCAUCAUUAGUCAGCAGAAAAUUUUAUGGAUUUACUAUGUUGCCUGCAAUGACUGCUACUUGUGAGGAAUGUGCAAUUCUAUUCAAGUAAAUAAAUAAUAUAUGCAUGCAUAUAAUCUCUUCUGUUUAUUCAUUUGAAUAAUUAUAUUGUAAUUAUGACAUGUCGUUGGUAAAGAAGGAAUCUUUUUGCACACGCGCGUGUGAUUUCUAACCGCGGAAGUUUUACCAGGAAAUACAAUAAAUCCGCAAUAAUUCAAGAUUUAUGUCAGCGGCGUUUAUCAGCGCGGAAUAUGAUUCUAUAAUUUCACGAUGUGAAACGUACAAACAUUUCGUAAAUUGUCGCCGUUGCAAAAAAAAAGAAAAAAUAAAAAAAAGAA